rnacentral:rRNA from 1 species
AGAUUAAGUUAUUAAGGGCGCACGGUGGAUGCCUUGGCACUAGAAGCCGAUGAAGGACGUUACUAACGACGAUAUGCUUUGGGGAGCUGUAAGUAAGCUUUGAUCCAGAGAUUUCCGAAUGGGGAAACCCAGCAUGAGUUAUGUCAUGUUAUCGAUAUGUGAAUACAUAGCAUAUCAGAAGGCACACCCGGAGAACUGAAACAUCUUAGUACCCGGAGGAAGAGAAAGAAAAUUCGAUUCCCUUAGUAGCGGCGAGCGAAACGGGAAGAGCCCAAACCAACAAGCUUGCUUGUUGGGGUUGUAGGACACUCUAUACGGAGUUACAAAGGACGACAUUAGACGAAUCAUCUGGAAAGAUGAAUCAAAGAAGGUAAUAAUCCUGUAGUCGAAAAUGUUGUCUCUCUUGAGUGGAUCCUGAGUACGACGGAACACGUGAAAUUCCGUCGGAA